GCACUUCUGAAGAGUCCCAAAAAUAGGACGAAACGGCCGUCCAGUGC
rnacentral:hammerhead_ribozyme from 1 species